rnacentral:rRNA from 1 species
UACGUAGGGUGCAAGCGUUGUCCGGAAUUAUUGGGCGUAAAGAGCUCGUAGGCGGUUUGUCGCGUCUGCUGUGAAAACGCGAGGCUCAACCUCGCGCCUGCAGUGGGUACGGGCAAACUAGAGUGCGGUAGGGGAGAUUGGAAUUCCUGGUGUAGCGGUGAAAUGCGCAGAUAUCAGGAGGAACACCGAUGGCGAAGGCAGGUCUCUGGGCAUUAACUGACGCUGAGGAGCGAAAGCAUGGGGAGCGAACAGG